UACGUAGGGCGCGAGCGUUGUCCGGAUUUAUUGGGCGUAAAGAGCUCGUAGGCGGCUCGUCGCGUCGACCGUGAAAACCCGCGGCUUAACUGCGGGCUUGCGGUUGAUACGGGCGGGCUAGAGUUCGGUAGGGGAGACUGGAAUUCCUGGUGUAGCGGUGAAAUGCGCAGAUAUCAGGAGGAACACCGGUGGCGAAGGCGGGUCUCUGGGCCGAUACUGACGCUGAGGAGCGAAAGCGUGGGGAGCGAACAGG
rnacentral:rRNA from 1 species